GGCCCGCGUCGGUCCCUCCCCUCCCUCCGCUUCUCGGCCGGCGGCGUGGGCAGGGCGCUGGGCUGGCUGCGAGCUUCGGGGCUUCUCUGCGACCCUGCCCGUGCGAGGAGCCGCGUGAGGAGGCGGAGAGGAAAGCAGACAGAUGGUUCUGAGUGCCCCAUGGCUGCAGCUACAUCAGUUCAUUCAUUUUUUGCCUGUUGUCACUUGGAAGCAUUCUUCAGGUAAGAAAGCUGCUUCAAAGUACUCCAUGUGGUUUAUAAGCUUACACUUAAUUAACUUCUGCAUAAAAUCUUUAAAUUGCAUUCAGUGUUUUGUUCUCUCAGUUGUCAUUUGUGUUCUGUUCACACAUGUCAUUAUGAAUCUAUCUUUUGUGUUAGACACUGAAAGCACUUCUGCAAAUGAAUGUGAUUUGUAUGUGCCAUGAGGAGUUAGGAGGCACAUGGUUUGCAGGGUACAUGCAGUACUUGUAGAUCCUUUGUGCAACACAAGGCCACCAUAAAUUACAAAAUUUUCCAGGUGUGCCAUCUGCACACACUUCUGUAAAGGCAAAUCAACUCUAAUUACAAACAUGAUUAUACAGGCCUUGAAUUUUCUUCUGUGAGUGAGCUGAGCAACGUUAUUUGCAAGGUGUUGAGUGUUCGAGUUUGGUUUUGCUUAAGAGUAAAGGGGCUGCUGCUCUGUUGUGUUUGUAUCUAAAACAUGUGCUGUGUCUGCUUUAAACUAUAAGGCUGAUAUUAACUGCAGUUUUUAAAAGAUGAUGAUAUGACUUGGGACUCAGGAGAAUCGAAAGCCUGAUGUCUCUGAUUUUUAAAAUAAUUAUUAGAAAGUUUAGCAAUGAAAAUCUAUAGAAAUCUUAUUUUUAGUUGAAGAGACAACUCUGAAAGCAUCCUAACAUAAUACCGUUCAAUUUUUAAAUCUGUGUUUUCAUUUCGAUCCUAUCGUAGUUUAGUCAGGUGGGUGUAGCUGUUCCUACAACUUUCCAUUGAAACUUCUUCAAAUACUAUCCAAUGGGUAACUGAUUUUGGAGGUUUUGGGUAUACCUUCUAACAGCAGACCAAGAUACUCUUUCAUACUAUUAUUCAAGAGUAUCUCUUUCAUAUUAGCAGAUGGAAGCAUAUUCAUUCAUACAUCAGUGUCUUUUUCUUCACAUGGAGUUUAAUUAGCCGAAGUAGUUUUACUGUCAUGUUUAUAGUGAUGCAGUAAGCACACUUUUAGUUUAAAAUGCUAUUCAGUUGUACCACAAAAGUCCUUACAUUUUACAAUACUAGGAAUUAUAUCUUUAAUUAUUGUACACAGCGAGCAGAAAGAAAGACAACAGUACUUAUUAUCUAGGUGCAUAACUUCCUA